UACGUAGGGUGCGAGCGUUGCCCGGAUUUAUUGGGCGUAAAGGGCGCGUAGGCGGCUCGGCACGUCCGUUGUGAAAUCGCCCGGCUCAACUGGGCGGGGUCGGCGGAUACGGCCGAGCUGGAGCAAGCUAGGGGGUAAUGGAAUUCCCGGUGUAGUGGUGGAAUGCGUGGAUAUCGGGAGGAACACCAGUGGCGAAGGCGGUUACCUGGAGCUUUGCUGACGCUGAUGCGCGAAAGCGUGGGGAGCGAUCCGG
rnacentral:rRNA from 1 species